rnacentral:lncRNA from 1 species
AUAAGGGUUCAUAUGACCUUGACCUCAAAGUUUUUCUUCAUAUGGUUUGUUGCUCUUCUACUGUAAGCAUUGAUGUAUGGAAUGAUUGGGCUCUGUACUCUACCUCAUGAUGCCAAUAUUCAUCUGACCUCAUUUGAUGGUUCAUUGGUCAAUGGUAUGUUGGUCUUGUAAUACCAAAGAGUAGAACUGAAAAAAAUUAUUUGAAAAAAAAAAAUUUAUUUCAACAACAAAAACAAUUCACCACAAUGUUCUUAAAUGAAACUUAAUUGAUGAAAUUGAG